rnacentral:lncRNA from 1 species
UGAUCUGUUGUAAGGGAUGGACGGGCCCCUGGCGUCUGUGUGAGGAAUUGGAUGGGCUGCAUGACCCCACCCCGAAACACACGCCGUCCCCAGAGAGAGACAGGCCUGCGGGGAGGGCGGCGACCACGGCUGGGGCGGGCACAGGGUGACUGGGCCUGGGAGGAGGCCACUCUCAUGGGGUGAAGCGGCGGGUCUGGCUGAGCACACAGCAGCCCUGACUCCCAACUCCAGCUUCCAGGCAGGAGCAGGCGGUGGCCAGCGGGUUCCUGUGAAGUCCCAGGAGUCUGGAGCUGGAAGGGGGCCCAGGGAGCCCUGGAUCCGAGCCUAACCAGGUGGCCGUGCGGUCCCUUCCGCUGGGUCCCUUCCGCUGGCUCUGGCUGGGCCUCACGCUAGGUCACUGCGGCGAUGGCCCCGGAAAAGGGCACCCUGGGGAGUCACUCCUGGAAGCGCGUUCUUUUUGACCUCUCAUUUACAGACCCUCCUUUACGAUUUAUCAAAGUCUGAACUUCUCCUUGGAGUGGGGACUAAUUUCCUGUUGCCGCUGUAAUAAACUGUCACCCACUUGGUGGCCUAAAGCAACACAAAUUUAUUAUCCCACAGCUCUGUGGCUGGAAGUCUGAAAGGCGUCCCACUGGGCUAAAAAUCAAGCUGUCCCAGGGCUGGUUCCUUCUGGAGGCCCAGGGAGAAUCCUCCCCCAGCCCCAGGCCUCUUCCAGCCUCCAGAGGAGGCUGUGCUCCGUGGUGUGAGGCUGCCUCCUUCACCUGCAGAGCCGGCCAUGGGGCUCAGCCCUUCUCACACACGUCCCCCCGACUCCUGCCUGUUUGCUCUCCCACUUCCAAGGACCCAGUGGCACCUCAGGCCCGGCACAAUCUCCCCAGCUCAGGCGCGGCCUUCAUUUCAUCUGGAGCCUGAAUUCUGUUUUCCAUGUAGCAUGACACAUUCCCCAAUGCUGGAGUCUAGGAUGGACCAUCGUUGGGGCACUGCUCCGCCCACCACAGUGUGGGAUGAUGGUCAGAGAAGCCACGGAGAUGAAGCACAUGUGAUUGGCACAGCCGGCAUACGUGAGCUGACCGUGUGCGGCUGCAAAGCUGAGCUGUUGUCUUGCCUGUGGCCUCCGAAACGCAGCCCUGGGCCCUGUGAUCACUGCAUUUCCUCUGUGCGGCUUUGA